UACGGAGGGUGCGAGCGUUGUCCGGAAUCACUGGGCGUAAAGGGCGCGUAGGCGGCAUGCCAAGCGUGUGGUGAAAGCCCGGGGCUCAACCCCGGGUCGGCCGUGCGGACUGGCAUGCUCGAGCACUGUAGGGGCGGGUGGAAUUCCGGGUGUAGCGGUGGAAUGCGUAGAUAUCGGGAGGAACACCAGUGGCGAAGGCGAGUCCCUGGACAAUUCCUGACGCUGAGGCACGAAAGCCAGGGGAGCAAACAGG
rnacentral:rRNA from 1 species